rnacentral:rRNA from 1 species
AUUGAACGCUGGCGGCAGGCUUAACACAUGCAAGUCGAGCGGGGUGAUGGUGCUUGCACUAUCACUUAGCGGCGGACGGGUGAGUAAUGCUUGGGAAUCUGCCUAUUAGUGGGGGACAACAUCUCGAAAGGGAUGCUAAUACCGCAUACGUCCUACGGGAGAAAGCAGGGGAUCACUUGUGACCUUGCGCUAAUAGAUGAGCCUAGGUCGGAUUAGCUAGUUGGUGGGGUAAAGGCCUACCAAGGCGACGAGCUGUAGCGGGUCUGAGAGGAUGAUCAGCCACACUGGGACUGAGACACGGCCCAGACUCCUACGGGAGGCAGCAGUGGGGAAUAUUGGACAAUGGGGGGAACCCUGAUCCAGCCAUGCCGCGUGUGUGAAGAAGGCCUUAUGGUUGUAAAGCACUUUAAGCGAGGAGGAGGCUCUUUUGGUUAAUACCCAAGAUGAGUGGACGUUACUCGCAGAAUAAGCACCGGCUAACUCUGUGCCAGCAGCCGCAGUAA